rnacentral:rRNA from 1 species
UGAAGGAAGUGCUUGCACUUCUGGACGAGUUGCGAACGGGUGAGUAACGCGUAGGUAACCUGCCUGGUAGCGGGGGAUAACUAUUGGAAACGAUAGCUAAUACCGCAUAACAAUGGAUAUUGCAUGAUAUCUAUUUGAAAGAUGCAAUUGCAUCACUACCAGAUGGACCUGCGUUGUAUUAGCUAGUAGGUGAGGUAAAGGCUCACCUAGGCGACGAUACAUAGCCGACCUGAGAGGGUGAACGGCCACACUGGGACUGAGACACGGCCCAGACUCCUACGGGAGGCAGCAGUAGGGAAUCUUCGGCAAUGGGGGCAACCCUGACCGAGCAACGCCGCGUGAGUGAAGAAGGUUUUCGGAUCGUAAAGCUCUGUUGUAAGAGAAGAACGGGUAUGAGAGUGGAAAGUUCAUACUGUGACGGUAUCUUACCAGAAAGGGACGGCUAACUACGUGCCAGCAGCCGCGGUAAUACGUAGGUCCCGAGCGUUAUCCGGAUUUAUUGGGCGUAAAGCGAGCGCAGGCGGUUAGAUAAGUCUGAAGUUAAAGGCUGUGGCUUAACCAUAGUAUGCUUUGGAAACUGUUUGACUUGAGUGCAGAAGGGGAGAGUGGAAUUCCAUGUGUAGCGGUGGAAUGCGUAGAUAUAUGGAGGAACACCGGUGGCGAAAGCGGCUCUCUGGUCUGUAAC